rnacentral:rRNA from 1 species
CCUACGGGAGGCAGCAGUGGGGAAUAUUGGGCAAUGGAGGCAACUCUGACCCAGCAACGCCGCGUGAGCGAUGAAGGUCUUCGGAUUGUAAAGCUCUUUAAGCGGGGACGAAGAAAGUGACUGUACCCGCCGAAUAAGCCUCGGCUAACUACGUGCCAGCAGCCGCGGGAAUACGUAGGAGGCAAGCGUUAUCCGGAUUGACUGGGCGUAAAGGGUGCGUAGGUGGUUUGGCAAGUUGGUAGCGUAAUCCCGGGGCUCAACCUCGGUGCUACUACUAAAACUGUUGAACUUGAGUGCAGGAGGGGUGAAUGGAAUGCCCAGUGUAGCGGUGGAAUGCGUAGAUAUUGGGCAGAACACCAGCGGCGAAGGCGAUUCACUGAACUGUAACUGACACUGAGGCACGAAAGCGUGGGGAGCAAACAGGAUUAGAUACCCCAGUAGUC